UACACACGGAAGCACAAGGUGGAAGUGUUAGUCAGGCUUCUUAAAUUUUACUUAUCGAUAGUACUGUUCGUAGAAACUAUUAAAAGCCACGUUCAAUUCUAAGUAGAAGUCCAGUAAGGGAAAUAUGGAUCUCCAGAAAAUGAAGGUAGAGGACAAAGUAGAGCUUUGCAAAAAAUACUUCUAUGGUGGUUUUGCACUCCUUCCUUUCCUGUGGGUGGUCAAUUUUGUGUGGUUUUUCAAAGAGGCCUUUAUCAAACAACACUAUGAACAACAGCAACAG